GACGAACGCUGGCGGCGUGCUUAACACAUGCAAGUCGAACGGAAAGAUCCGGCUCUUGCGGGUUUCUCGAUUGGCGAACGGGUGUGUGACACGCGAGUAACCUCCCCUUGACUUAGUGAUAACACCACGAGACUGGGGGGAAUACCCGGUAUGAGCUCCUGCUCCACGGGGGGCUAUGGUAAGUGUCGGCGGUACGGGCUGGACUCGCGGCUCAUCAGCCGGAUUGUCGGGUAGUUGCUUACCAAGCCUUCGAAGGGUAGCCGGCCUGGGAGGGUGGCCGGCCACCUUGGGACUGCGGUACGGCCCAGCAUCCUACGGGACGCAACAGUCGGAAGUAUUGCGCAACGGGCGCAAGCCUGAUGCAGCAACGCCGCGUGCGGGAUGACGGCUUUCGAGUUGUAAACCGCUUUCGACUGUGCCGAAGAGUGAGUGACGGUAAUGGGUAAAAAAGCACCGGCUAACUACGUG
rnacentral:rRNA from 1 species